CUGCGCGCGGCCGUGGGGGGCGCCAGAGAGCGGCGGGCCUGACGUCACCGGGCUGCCCGCGGCAAGGGGCGGGGCUGCGCACGCGCGGGCGCGGCGAGGGCGGGGCGUCCCUGCCUGCGUCCAGGCCGGGAAGCCGUGGCGCGCGCGUCCAGCGGCCGCCGCGUGCACAGGCCGGCAGCCCUCGGCUCCCGGCUCUCGGCCCUUGGGCGGCCGGGGCGCGCCCCGCGGGGAGGAGGUGGGUGGGGGCCCUCAGGAAGCUCUGCACCCGGCCUGGAGCCCUCGGAGGGGUUCCGCGCGGCCAGGCUCCGGUCCUCCUCCUCUUAAGAGUCCGGAGGCGCCGUGGUCACAUCGGCGGGGUGCGGGGGAACCGCGGGAAACAGAAUUGUGUCCGGGCCGGAGCCGAGGACAGUCGGUCACAUUGCGCCCCCGCGCCAGCUCCGAGCUGGCGCGCCCUCUACCGGGUCACACGGGGCCUCCGAGAAACACGGGCCAAGGGAAUGCCGGUGCCCCCGUGGACGAGGGAAUGCAAGUGUGAGCACGUGUAUGUGAUGCUCAGGCGACGGCGGGGUCAGCGCGGGCAGGUGUGCGCACGCAGGGGCACGGUGCUUCUGGCAGCAGGUGUAGGGAUUCUUUUCCCGGCCGCUCUCCAUCGAACCUGCCUGGGGUCCUCCUGCCUGGGGUCAAGGGAGAUGCGGAGCAGCGCCCCUCCGGCUGUGAAGGGUCCAGCCCAAUGGGGAGAGCGGCUCUCCCUACCCCCCACCCAAGGAGGAAAACUUGAGGCCACUAGAAGGAGGCCCACGCUGGCAAGAGUGAGAAGGGAGAGGCCCUAGGAUGCGGCCUGAGAGUUAUGCCGGUGGGCGGCACAUGCUGCUCUGAGGCCCGUCCCCAGCGCCCCGCCUUGAAGCUGGCUGGAGCUGAGACUCUCCCAUCUGUCGGGUCACGACCAUCCUCACGCAGUGGGCCAGCACAAGAGGAGACCUCAUUAGUCCAUCACUGACUGGAGAAGCUAGAGUUUGGCCAUAAGUCCCUGAGUCCAGGCCGGGGACCACCCCCAGAGGACUGAACUGAUACAGUCUGCCCUCUGUCCUCGCGUCCAGUAAGCCCUUGGAAGAGGAUCUGAAACUGCUUCACAGCCAGGAGCAAGUGCACACAAUCAGCUCCGACGCUGCCCUUCUCAGGACACCCAGAGCCAGACUUCCCACCCAGAGGAAUGGGUGAUGACAGUAGGACUCCAGAUGAAGGAGAACACUUGGGGGUCCCCAAGGGCCAGACUCUGCCCCCCGGGGAGAUGGACGGGAGCUGUAGAGGCACAGCUGGGGCCAAGUCUAAAAUCAGAUGUGGUCUUUAUUGAGAUGAUAGCGAUUCCCCAGGAUGAGCAAAUGUGGGGUGUCAGGAGUGGCAGCACCAGCCACUCUAAGACCAUCCUCACCGCCCCCCCCCCGCCCCCC